rnacentral:rRNA from 1 species
GGGGAUAACCUUGCGAAAGUAAGACUAAUACCCAAUGACGUCUCUAGAAGACAUCUGAAGGAGAUUAAAGAUUUAUCGGUGAUGGAUGGGGAUGCGUCUGAUUAGCUUGUUGGCGGGGUAACGGCCCACCAAGGCGACGAUCAGUAGGGGUUCUGAGAGGAAGGUCCCCCACAUUGGAACUGAGACACGGUCCAAACUCCUACGGGAGGCAGCAGUGAGGAAUAUUGGUCAAUGGACGAGAGUCUGAACCAGCCAAGUAGCGUGCAGGAUGACGGCCCUAUGGGUUGUAAACUGCUUUUAUAAGGGAAUAAAGUGAGUCUCGUGAGACUUUUUGCAUG